AGUCUGCUCUGAAUGGAGUCAGUGUAGGGACAAGAAAAGCAAACACCUCAGCCUGGGCCCUGCUGGCCCGUUUGGGGUGGGUUAGGAUGGGGCAGGGGCCUGGGUUCAUCUGAGCCUCUCCCAAUCAGCCCUCCCCUGCUCCUGAGAGCCUAUGGUGUCCUGGUCCCCUGGCCGCCAGCAUCCAGAAAGGAAGUGGGUUUAGGGGCUAUGGACAAGCCAUCUAGUCGACACCUUCCUCCGAAUCUUUCCCUGCCCCACUGCCCAGCCUCCAGCCAGUGCCCUUCCUGGCCCGCAGAAGCCAGGAAAAUCUGCGUGGGGGCAGGGCAGUCUGGCACCUGAAGGCCUGCUUGACCAGCCCUUCUCAGCAGCAGGAACUGGGCGGGGAAGUCACCUUGUGCCAGAGACGGACCCACCAGUGCCGUCUGCCUCCCGGGCCGAGGGGACCCCAAGAUGCUCUGCCCAGCUCAGCCCGGGGCCCAGCACCCUGGCACCCAGUCCGGCCCAGGCAGAGCCCAGCAGAGAAGUAGCCGUGCUUAGAGGAGUAGGCGCAGAAGCCCGGCGUUCUCAGCCCUGGCUCUUUGUCUGCUGCUUUGUGAUGGGCUUGGAACCGGAGCUAGGAAGGAGCACAGGCGGGUCUUCUGGACUCCUGUCUACCGAGCUGCAGCCAGGACCAGAAGCAGGGCAUGGGCCCUCCUCUGGCCAGGAUGCUGGGCUCCUUUGGCCGCAAUGCGGGACAGGGGCCCAGAGAGCCCCCAACCCAGGAGACUGAAGCUGGCAGCUGGGCCGGAGCAGCGUCGGCGCUGACGGCGGAGGCGAGGACGACGCCGCGUGGAAGACGUCGCGCUCGGGCCGCAGCUGGAUGGCGCACCCAGGUCCCGGGGACCCCCGCCCCGCCCCCCAAGCCGGGAGUCGCCGCGCAGGUCUGCGAAGUUCCGUGUGGGCCCGCCAGAGGGCGCCCGGGGGCCGAGGAGGGGCGGGAACCCGGGAGCCCGGCGAGGGCCGCUGCUGGUCGGUCCCGCCCCGCGGGGCUGCGACUGCGGUCCUAGGGUCGGAUGGGUGGCCACGGGAUCCGGACUCAGGGGCUCAGUGGAGGCGGAUUCCGGGGGCUGCACGCUCCGGGCUUCGGAGUGGAGCGUUCUCGGGCACCGGGGCGGCUCGGAUGCCGUCCCCCGGGACCCUCUCCUCUGCCACCCUUCCCCCAGCCGGCGCCCAGCCGGGGGGGCGGGGGGGGGCGCUGCCCCUGGGUCGUGCGUGGGGCGGGUCCCCAGCCCCUGCCCUCCGCUUCCUCUGGCCGAGGGGACACUUGAGCAUCGGCGCGUAGCGGGUGGGACGGGGAGCCCACUCUUUGGGGGUACGCCCCCCACCCCUUCUCCGGCCGCCUCGGCCCCGCCCUGGCCCUAGGCCCCGCCCCGGCCCGGUCGC